AUUGAACGCUGGCGGCAGGCCUAACACAUGCAAGUCGAACGAGUGGCGGACGGGUGAGUAAUGUCUGGGAAACUGCCUGAUGGAGGGGGAUAACUACUGGAAACGGUAGCUAAUACCGCAUACCAUCGGAUGUGCCCAGAUGGGAUUAGCUAGUAGGGGGGGUAAAGGCUCACCUAGGCGACGAUCCCUAGCGGGUCUGAGAGGAUGAACGGCCACACGGGAACUGAGACCCGGCCCGGAUUCCUACGGGAGGCAGCAGUGGGGAAUAUGGCACAAUGGGCGCAAGCCUGAUGCAGCCAUGCCGCGUGUAUGAAGAAGGCCUCCGGGUUGUAAAGUACUUUCAGCGGGGAGGCGUUACCGGCAGAAGAAGCACCGGCUAACUCCGUGCCAGCAGCCGCGGUAAUUC
rnacentral:rRNA from 1 species